rnacentral:rRNA from 1 species
GACGAACGCCGGCGGCGUGCCUAAUACAUGCAAGUAGAACGCACAGUUUAUACCGUAGCUUGCUACACCAUAGACUGUGAGUUGCGAACGGGUGAGUAACGCGUAGGUAACCUGCCUGGUAGCGGGGGAUAACUAUUGGAAACGAUAGCUAAUACCGCAUAAUAUUAAUUAUUGCAUGAUAAUUAAUUGAAAGGUGCAAUUGCACCACUACCAGAUGGACCUGCGUUGUAUUAGCUAGUAGGUGAGGUAACGGCUCACCUAGGCGACGAUACAUAGCCGACCUGAGAGGGUGAGCGGCCACACUGGGACUGAGACACGGCCCAGACUCCUACGGGAGGCAGCAGUAGGGAAUCUUCGGCAAUGGACGAAAGUCUGACCGAGCAACGCCGCGUGAGUGAAGAAGGUUUUCGGAUCGUAAAGCUCUGUUGUAAGAGAAGAACGGGUGUGAGAGUGGAAAGUUCACACUGUGACGGUAUCUGACCAGAAAGGGACGGCUAACUACGUG